rnacentral:rRNA from 1 species
CAGUCGCCGCGGGAAUACGUAGGUGGCAAGCGUUGUCCGGAAUUAUUGGGCGUAAAGCGAGCGCAGGCGGUUAGGUAAGUCUGAAGUUAAAGGCUGUGGCUUAACCAUAGUACGCUUUGGAAACUGUUUAACUUGAGUGCAAGAGGGGAGAGUGGAAUUCCAUGUGUAGCGGUGAAAUGCGUAGAUAUAUGGAGGAACACCGGUGGCGAAAGCGGCUCUCUGGCUUGUAACUGACGCUGAGGCUCGAAAGCGUGGGGCGCAAACAGGAUUAGAUACCCCUGUAGUCCCUGUCUCUUAUACA